AUGCUUACCUGGUAGGGGAGAUACCAUGAUCAAAUAGAUUGUUCACCCAGGGCGAGGCUUGGCCAUUGCACUCUGGCUGUCUGACCCUUGCGAAUUCCCCAAAUGCGGGAGUCUGGACUGCAUAAUUUGUGCUAGUGGGGGACUGUGUUCGCGUUCUCCCCUU
ensembl:snRNA U1 U1 spliceosomal RNA